rnacentral:lncRNA from 1 species
CGGCUCCCGCCGGGCCCCGGGGCGGCCCUGCGCCUCCUCAGCCGCUGCCGGCGCCUCAGCCCGAGAUGCCCGACCUCAGCCACCUCACGGAGGAGGAGCGGAAAAUCAUCCUGGCCGUCAUGGACCGCCAGAAGAAGGAAGAGGAGAAGGAGCAAUCCGUGCUCAAGGUCAAAGAAGAACAAAAACCACAGCUGACACAGUAAGUAAAUUAACUUAAAAGUGCAGUAGGCUUGACUUUUCUACCUUUGCCAUGUUCUGCUUUCUGCACCUUUGAUGGUAUUAGCUUACCCUAAUACCUGAUAGGCUGCAGUUAGUUUGCCAUCUGCUUCCUGACUGGCUUGUAAGAGAGCUGCCUGCAGCUUCUUACUUCAUCCACAUCUCGGUUGGAUGUAGGUUCUUGCUGCCUGCUUGUGAACUGGUUAACUGUAAAACUUUGUUUUCCCUUUCCCCCCUUAGUGGCUGAUUUAGUACUGCAGCUAACAUUCCCAUUGGCUCUAGCUUUUCCGCCUGUAUAUUUUCUAUUAUCAUUGGAUAAGAAAACAUUUGAACUAGUGUGGUUUUAUUGGUUAUUCAGUCACAUUAUUUGCUUAUUUAAACAGGUGGUUUCCCUUUAGUGGGAUCACUGAGCUGGUAAAUAACGUUCUUCAACCACAGCAAAAGCAGCAAAAUGAAAAGGAGCCCCAGACGUAAGUAAGCUGCUCUCUGUAGACUAAGUAAUGUCUGUAUAGCAUUAAAACUUACUGGAGAGUAGGUUUAUAAGAACUGCCCAUUUAGAACAUCCUGCUGAAGGCAUUUUACAAGCUGACACUGUUUGCUUUCCAACCCUCAUUGGCAAAGGGAAAGCUGAAAAUCAACUUUGGCAUUUUUAACAGUAAUUUAAGUGGUUAUAUUAGAAAACAAUCAGAGGAAAUACUACUGCUCCAUUUGCCUUUUUCUGCAAAUGCUCCAUACGUGAAACUCUCAGUGAAGUGAUGUGUUUUCUGUGCAUGCGGAGCUUGAAUUAUAAGACAUGUAUUAUAUAUAGCAUAUCUAUGCAAAUGCAUGGUAUUUGUGGUACUGAUCAUGCAUAGAAUGCUAUACAAAUCUAUAUAAUAUGAAGACCUCUUAAAGGACCAGGAAAAUACCAUUUCAUUUUUUUCAUGCUUCUAAAAUAUCUGUAAAGUUUCAAAACUUUAGCAGAUAUGAGGUGAAAUUUUGGUUCUGUCAAAAUUCAGGGGAGUUUUGACUUUGAUGGGGCCAUUAUUUCAUCCAUGGACCCUCUACAGUGCUAAGCCAGUAUGAGAGCUGUGUGAAAAGUUUUACUUUUCUUUCAGUCUGAAAAUGUUAUGAUUUAACAGGAACUGGCAAAGCUAGGACAUUCAGUCUUAGAGUGGAACUUAAAGCAUGAAGCUAAAAAUACUCUUUUCCUAAUGAGAAACUAAAAAAUAUAUAUCAAAUUUUAAGAUUUUUAAAUGUGACAUCUGAUAUUAUUUGAACUUUAAAUGGUUAUGUAUUUUCUUUUUAAGAUGAUUGUUUUAUAAUUUCACAUUACGAAAUAAAUGUUUGCUUUUGAACCCA